GCUGGCGGCGUGCUUAACACAUGCAAGUCGAGCGAAGCACUUAGGAAAGAUUCUUCGGAGGAUUUCCUAUUUGACUGAGCGGCGGACGGGUGAGUAACGCGUGGGUAACCUGCCUCAUACAGGGGGAUAACAGUUAGAAAUGACUGCUAAUACCGCAUAAGACCACAGCACCGCAUGGUGCAGGGGUAAAAACUCCGGUGGUAUGAGAUGGAUCCGCGUCUGAUUAGUUAGUUGGUGGGGUAACGGCCUACCAAGGCGACGAUCAGUAGCCGACCUGAGAGGGUGACCGGCCACAUUGGGACUGAGACACGGCCCAGACUCCUACGGGAGGCAGCAGUGGGGAAUAUUGCACAAUGGGGGAAACCCUGAUGCAGCGACGCCGCGUGAGCGAAGAAGUAUUUCGGUAUGUAAAGCUCUAUCAGCAGGGAAGAAAAUGACGGUACCUGACUAAGAAGCCCCGGCUAACUACGUGCCAGCAGCCGCGGUAAUACGUAGGGGGCAAGCGUUAUCCGGGUUUACUGGGUGUAAAGGGAGCGUAGACGGAGCAGCAAGUCUGAUGUGAAAACCCGGGGCUCAACCCCGGGACUGCAUUGGAAACUGUUGAUCUGGAGUGCCGGAGAGGUAAGCGGAAUUCCUAGUGUAGCGGUGAAAUGCGUAGAUAUUAGGAGGAACACCAGUGGCGAAGGCGGCUUACUGGACGGUAACUGACGUUGAGGCUCGAAAGCGUGGGGAGCA
rnacentral:rRNA from 1 species